UACGUAGGUGGCAAGCGUUGUCCGGAUUUACUGGGCGUAAAGAGUAUGUAGGCGGACAUUUAAGUCAGAUGUGAAAUCCCCGGGCUUAACCUGGGAGCUGCAUUUGAUACUGGGUGUCUAGAGUGUAGGAGAGGAAAGUGGAAUUCCUAGUGUAGCGGUGAAAUGCGUAGAGAUUAGGAAGAACACCAGUGGCGAAGGCGACUUUCUGGACUAUAACUGACGCUGAGAUACGAAAGCGUGGGGAGCAAAC
rnacentral:rRNA from 1 species